rnacentral:tRNA from 1 species
GUCUCUGUGGUGCAAUGGGUGGGACAUCUGUCUGUUAACAGGCAAGGUUGGUGGAUCGAGCCCACCUAGGGACG